rnacentral:snoRNA from 1 species
AUGACAAAGUCUCCGGAAUCGCUGUAUUUUACGUGAUGAUACCCGUUUUGAACCCUUUUCUGUCUGAUGACUGUAGAUACUGUGA